rnacentral:rRNA from 1 species
GACGAACGCUGGCGGCGUGCCUAAUACAUGCAAGUCGAACGCAGUGGGGACGGGUGAGUAACACGUGGGUAACCUCCCAUCAGAGGGGAUAACACUUGGAAACAGGUGCUAAACCGAUACUGAUGGAUGAACCCGCGGUGCAUUAGCUAGUUGGUGAGGUAACGGCUCACCAAGGCCACGAUGCAUAGCCGACCGGGGAGGGUGAUAGGCCAGACUGGGACUGAGACAAGGCCCAGACUCCGACGGUGGGCAGCAGUAGGGAAACAUCGGCAAUUGAAGAAAGUCUGACCGAGCAACGCCGCGUAGGUGGAGUAGUUUUUGGGAGCGAAUAACUCUGUUGUUAGGGAAACGGGAUUUAACCAGAGAGGCACGGCUAGCUAGGAGGCAGCAGCCGCGGUAAUAC